rnacentral:lncRNA from 1 species
UGAAUAUAUAUGUUUUUCAGUUGUGACCCAUGAUUUCAGCGGUCAGUUACUAAGAGCAUUUCAAAAUUGUGCACACCUGUGAUCCCGCUUCCUACCGCGACCUCGCUUUCUCAUCAUUCCGACCCACACUGAACUUAUUGACCAUGGAUAAUGGUGAGAUUGCAUCUUCGCUAUUUAUGUUUCUUUCUGUGAUAUUCGCUGUAUGGUUUCUUUUUGAUUUUUGUGAAUAGAUGGUAACUGGUGGUUGUGACCAAUUUUCGAGCAGGUCGUAAGCGCAUCGGUUUAGGUGAGGUCUCGCCUUCGUCCGUCAGAACUGGUGAGCAUAACUACCCAUUAAUGAUUUAAUGAUAAUGAUACUAUUAGUUAUCGCACAUUGCUUGAAUGUUUUCCGGUGUUGUCUGGCCAGCGUAGACGGUGCUUGCAGUCCUGUCACUCUAAUGCUCAAGAAGGAGGUAUAGAUAAUAGAUAUGUUUGUUUCUCUAUAAUUUAGGAAGCACACAUAUUAAAUUUGCGGCACAGAGAUGUUAUCACUAGACUUUUGAUUAGUAAAAUUGUAGUUUUUACAGGUGCUGUUAUACCAUACAUUUUUCGCAUAGUUAUUAGUGUAUCUUUUUUGCAGGUACAGGAUAUAUGCCGUCAAAUGGGGUCAGAUUGUUUGUGCAGGGCAACCAUAUAUGUUAAUUGCUAAAUCCGGCCACUGUAGU